rnacentral:rRNA from 1 species
AGACGUCUACAUUAGAUACCCGCGUAGUCCAGGGUGUAAACGCUGCAGACUUGGUGUCGGCCACGGUGCGACCGUUGUCGGUGCCGUAGGGAAGCCGUGAAGCGAGCCACCUGGGAAGUACGGCCGCAAGGCUGAAACUUAAAGGAAUUGGCGGGGGAGCACAACAACGGGUGGAGCCUGCGGUUUAAUUGGACUCAACGCCGGACAACUCACCGGGGACGACAGCAAUAUGUAGGCCAGGCUGAAGACCUUGCCUGAAUCGCUG